CUGAGAUACCUCUCUCACAGGAGACCUGUAUCAGUGAAACUGGUGGAGGCUUGCCACCAGUCAGAAGCUGCCUGUAGCAGUUUAAAGUUACUCCCUAAUGUUUGGCUUUUCUUUUUUAUUAGAAAAUGCCAUGUUCAUGCAUGUAUGGCAUAGGAGCUGCUGAUGAGAGCAGCAGACCUCAGAUCAAAACAAGACUUGAAGCAAGUACUUUUCAAGGUGUAAUGAACAGAAAGCAGCUCUGCAAAGGGAGCAGCAAUAGCUGCUUGAUCCAACAAUGUUUUCUACAAGAACAUCCAUCCCAGGAACACAGCAGAACUGACAACAUAUCAUCUCUAUGA
rnacentral:lncRNA from 1 species